UUGAAGAGUUUGAUCAUGGCUCAGAUUGAACGCUGGCGGCAGGCCUAACACAUGCAAGUCGAGCGGUAGCACAGAGAGCUUGCUCUCGGGUGACGAGCGGCGGACGGGUGAGUAAUGUCUGGGAAACUGCCUGAUGGAGGGGGAUAACUACUGGAAACGGUAGCUAAUACCGCAUAACGUCGCAAGACCAAAGUGGGGGACCUUCGGGCCUCAUGCCAUCAGAUGUGCCCAGAUGGGAUUAGCUAGUAGGUGGGGUAACGGCUCACCUAGGCGACGAUCCCUAGCUGGUCUGAGAGGAUGACCAGCCACACUGGAACUGAGACACGGUCCAGACUCCUACGGGAGGCAGCAGUGGGGAAUAUUGCACAAUGGGCGCAAGCCUGAUGCAGCCAUGCCGCGUGUGUGAAGAAGGCCUUCGGGUUGUAAAGCACUUUCAGCGGGGAGGAAGGCGUUAAGGUUAAUAACCUCAUCGAUUGACGUUACCCGCAGAAGAAGCACCGGCUAACUCCGUGCCAGCAGCCGCGGUAAUACGGAGGGUGCAAGCGUUAAUCGGAAUUACUGGGCGUAAAGCGCACGCAGGCGGUCUGUCAAGUCGGAUGUGAAAUCCCCGGGCUCAACCUGGGAACUGCAUUCGAAACUGGCAGGCUAGAGUCUUGUAGAGGGGGGUAGAAUUCCAGGUGUAGCGGUGAAAUGCGUAGAGAUCUGGAGGAAUACCGGUGGCGAAGGCGGCCCCCUGGACAAAGACUGACGCUCAGGUGCGAAAGCGUGGGGAGCAAACAGGAUUAGAUACCCUGGUAGUCCACGCCGUAAACGAUGUCGAUUUGGAGGUUGUGCCCUUGAGGCGUGGCUUCCGGAGCUAACGCGUUAAAUCGACCGCCUGGGGAGUACGGCCGCAAGGUUAAAACUCAAAUGAAUUGACGGGGGCCCGCACAAGCGGUGGAGCAUGUGGUUUAAUUCGAUGCAACGCGAAGAACCUUACCUGGUCUUGACAUCCACAGAACUUUCCAGAGAUGGAUUGGUGCCUUCGGGAACUGUGAGACAGGUGCUGCAUGGCUGUCGUCAGCUCGUGUUGUGAAAUGUUGGGUUAAGUCCCGCAACGAGCGCAACCCUUAUCCUUUGUUGCCAGCGGUCCGGCCGGGAACUCAAAGGAGACUGCCAGUGAUAAACUGGAGGAAGGUGGGGAUGACGUCAAGUCAUCAUGGCCCUUACGACCAGGGCUACACACGUGCUACAAUGGCAUAUACAAAGAGAAGCGACCUCGCGAGAGCAAGCGGACCUCAUAAAGUAUGUCGUAGUCCGGAUUGGAGUCUGCAACUCGACUCCAUGAAGUCGGAAUCGCUAGUAAUCGUAGAUCAGAAUGCUACGGUGAAUACGUUCCCGGGCCUUGUACACACCGCCCGUCACACCAUGGGAGUGGGUUGCAAAAGAAGUAGGUAGCUUAACCUUCGGGAGGGCGCUUACCACUUUGUGAUUCAUGACUGGGGUGAAGUCGUAACAAGGUAACCGUAGGGGAACCUGCGGUUGGAUCACCUCCUU
rnacentral:rRNA from 1 species